ACAGAAAGAUCUUCCAUCCACUGGUUCAUUCCCCAGUUGUCUGGAACAGCUGAGAAAGGCCAAGCUGAAGUCAGAACUCAAUCCAGAUCUCCCAGUUGGGAGGAAGAUGCUCGGUACGUGAGCCAUCACCCGCUACCUUCCAAGGUAUACAUCAACAGGAACCUGGAAUCAGAAAUGGAGCUGAAUUCAAACCCAGAUAAAGAAACGUCUUUUGCUGAGGCUUCUCUCUGCACGUGGUUCUCUCAACAACAUCCACAGAGACUGAAGAGACACAGAUGACAACAAGAAAAGAGAUUCUUGGAGGAAACCAAGGAAACACAGUAAAGAAUGACCAGGCAAUACUCUUUGAAAAUUGGAGACCAUUUGCAGCUGCUCUCUGUUGAGGAAAGUGAAUAAUAGGGUGCCCUCAAGGAAUUUCAAAGGUAUCACUCAACAGAAACUUUUGUGUCUGAAGAAAACUGGAUCAUUUUAUCAUGGUGGCUCCAAUGGCAAGGGUUUGAAUCAGGCCAAAUCCAGGAGUCAGGAGCUUCUUCCGGGUCUUCCACAUGGAUGGCAGGGACCUAUGCACUUGGGUGAUCUGCUUUUUGAACCUGGAUCAGAAGUGGAGCAGCCAGGACUUGAACAGUGACAGGUCAAACUCUUUGUUAAGAGAUACAUAAACAACAGUGUGUGUCUGAAGGAGACCCCAUUUGAAGAGAAAUCAGAUGGCACCCAGAUAAGCAAGGCUGAUUCAACCUAGAAAGAAGUUUUCUACGAUGAACCAAGCCAGCUUCCUGGACAUAGGAGAAGGAACUGUGAACUUCGUGCCAUUCCAUCAUUUCUGUGAGUUGAAAUGAUCUACCGUAUAAUCAUUGGCUUAGAAAAUGAAAACACACAGAAAGGAGAAGUGAGAUAAAGGGAGGGAGACAAAGAAAAAAAUAAGAAAGAAAAUGACCAGAAAGCCAUAUUAUUCUGCUGUUUCUCUUGUAUAUGUUGACUGACAAUAUUUUGUUUGUAGUAACAGAGAUAUUGGGGUCAAUGUUCACAAAACGCCAGAACAUUUUCAGAUUAAAAGUUAGAAUUUUAAUUUUCAGUUAAAAGUUUCUGUUUGAAAGAUUUUUAGAUUGGCAUGUUAUAUAAUAGAUAUGAGAAAGUAAAGCUUGGUUAUUUAAGUAGCUAAGUUAAAACAAGCUUAAUUGGUGACUCUUCGCCUUAGCAGCCUUUUAUUUUUCGAUUUCCUGAAUCUACAUGGGUGCCAAAUCAUCUUUCAUGAAGUGCCUGUAAGUGGAGUCAAUUUCUUUUAAAAUACGCACGUGUGUGCGUGCACACAGCCCAUGCUGUGGGUGGGAAGGGAGCAAACAGAAAAGACUCAGAGUCAAAACAAAGUGAGCUUCCAGGGUCAUGUUUAAUCUGAAACUUUGUGAGGCUGCGCAGGUUCACGGAUAUCAAACUUACUUUAUUUUAACGUGAUAAUCAAAACAGUUGUUGAAAGAUUUUAGAUACAGAUCAGAUUCAGCUCUGAAUAAUGACAAAAAUGAAUCUAUCUAGACUGCUACAUAUAAACUAUACUGUAAAUUUUAAAUAUUUAAAAUUAAAUAAGCAUCCACUAGUAACUCUUUUCAGGAUUUUCGCCUUUUAAAUGAAAUCUGUAUACAAACAGAUUAAAAUUCCUAUUUGAAGUGGUAAAUGUAAAGUAAUUCUACAAUUAUUACACAACCAUGCUUGAUAUUAAAACACAGGCAUGAAUAUAACAGGACACAAAUGUAAGAGGUGUAACAAGUCGGUUUUUUCCUCAAUAGGGAUUGAAGAAAAGACAAUAUUUCUUUUUCUUAGUUAAUUGUCCCAGAGCUCACAUGUAUUCCUUUAUGUUGAGGUCUAAAAUUAAGGAAUAAAAGGCAGAACUAAACAGGAUGCAACAAAUUCAGAUUCCAAGGUGUGGGGGACUGUUUAUGCUUUUUUUUGUAAGCAUUGAUCUUUUAAAGUAAUUUUGGAAUUCAAUAUUCUAAUGCCAAAACUUUCCAUGAUUUAAGUUUUAGUAGAUGUGAAAUAUCUAGAUGUAGAUUCAGUUACAGCUGGGCUAGAGUUUGUCAAAUGUGACCUCUUAAAGAAAAUUAUUAUCCAUAUCUAUUAGACUGAUAAUUUACAUUGGUUCCACUUUGGUAGGUACUUUUCAUAUUUAAAAUAAUCAAUAGCUCUGAGUGAACAUUAAAAAUAAAUUCUGAAUCCAAUCUUUCAGCCUUGCUAGUUCAAAUUAUUUGUAAAUUCAAAGACAAAACCUUCUAAAUUCUGAAUGAAUUCACAUUCAUUCUACGUAAUUGCUCCACAGAAUAAUGAAAGAAUGAAUGAACCUCCACGCAUCUAGUGGGAACUGCUCAUGCAUGAAAUAAUCAUUUACUCUGAAUGAACCUUUAAGAAAAUCAUUCUAAGGGCUGGUGAUCGGGGAGUAAACAAGACAUUAAAUUUCUUGCCCUUUGGGAGUUUACAUUCUGAUGAUUAAACUUCGUCAAACACAGUUAAUUCAUUUCCAAGUAAACACCAACGCAAUUGGGAAAAUAAUUCUUCUCAUUCUCUUUUUCUGACUCCAGUGGUUUCCCUUUUCCACCACCAGGAACAAGCUGUGAAGGCCUACGGACUGGUGUCUGUGCAGGUGCAGCUAUCUCACGGUGGACGUGGGGCCUGCAGGGCACGUGCGGGUCUCGCUGCACAGGUGCCCUACUCCCCCGGCGGGCGUGUGCUGCUGCUCUAACCAGUGCGCUAGCUCGUGCGCUAUUAUCGGGAAGUACCUAAGCUUUCAAUUCCGGAAAGCUGGCUUGUACUAGGAAAGUGAAGCCAAAGUAGAAAACGUGCAUCCCUUGUUUCCCCCAGAAAGGUGAACAACUCCCCACACGUAAUGCCCACCUGUAUGCACGUGACUGGGAGAGACUGAGGGUUUCCUUGAGAGGAGAUGGAAGGCAACCACGUAGAAAGGGGAGAACCCCAUUUUUUCUGCAGCAUAUAUCACUGUUUGCGUUUUCUGAUGUAAUAGUAGCCAGGAUUCUGGCUGCUGCUUCAAGUCCUGUUUGAUUUUUCUCCAUAGGCAAUUCUGCGCUCACCUUACGUUUCCUGUUAGAGCUCUCACUGCCUUGCAUCCUUCACCCUGGGGAGGCGCCCAGGCUGUAGCGGGGCUCUACAAAUGUGGAGCAGAUGGAGGAGCAGCCAUGCCGGCAAGAGCUAUCGCCUGACAAAGCGGGGCUUCAGGAUCGGAGAAACCGCGGCACGGAUGAACCCACUGCGGUGGGAAAGAGAGACUGUUCAACUCUAUGGUUCCACAUCCAUUCCUGUGGACUUACUUCUAAGGGCACAGUUUGAAAACGUGCCAUGGGAUCCCACGUCCCCAUGAGCUGGAUGGUAAAAGUAGCAUUUUAAGUGUUUAAUGAUAAUAUAGAUAGGGUCAAAGAGGAGGGGAUGCAUCAACAUGGGAAGCAGUCCAUACAGCAGAGUCAUAGGUUGGCAGUUGCCAUAAAUAACACUCACUGGACUCAGAGACAGCCCAUAAGGCAUUCUAGCCUGGCUGAAAAGCCCACAACAUGUUAUGGAAAAGUCAGGACACUGGUGCAAAAUAUGUCCCUACAUGAAGAAAAUCUGCGAUUGAGACCCCAGUGGAAAAAGUGGUCAUCAAAGAAAGACGUACUCAUCUCUGAAGGAAAGAACUUCCACUUUGCUCACAGCCUUGUCUGAAAACUAAUGGGAUUUGUGGAUUCAAAAGUCUUCUACGGGCUGGCGCCGCGGCUCACUAGGCUAAUCCUCCACCUAGCAGCGCCGGCACACCAGGUUCUAGUCCUGGUUGGGGCGCCGGAUUCUGUCCCGGUUGCCCCUCUUCCAGGCCAGCUCUCUGCUGUGGCCAGGGAGUACAGUGGAGGAUGGCCCAGGUGCUUGGGCCCUGCACCCCAUGGGAGACCAGGAGAAGCACCUGGCUCCUGGCUCCUGCCAUCGGAUCAGCGCGGUGCGCCGGCCGCAGUGCGGCGGCCGUGGCGGCCAUUGGAGGUGAACCAACGGCAAAGGAAGACCUUUCUCCCUGUCUCUCUCUCUCACUGUCCACUCUGCCUGUCAAAAAAAAAAAAAAAGUCUUCUACGGCCUAGGCUCAAGUGAUUACUGACAUCACACAUAAGAGUGUUAAUUGCAGCAGUCACAGUGUACUAACUUCCCAUGCAAGUCCUCUAUCCUCAAAGAAUCGUAUUAUUAGAGUUAAUGGUAAAACUUGGUCUUGCUACUGGUGAAUGGUAGGGUUCCUGUCUUCGCGCCAGAAAGAAUUCAGGCAUGAGACAGAAAGUAGUGGAAAGUAAAAUAGCAAGGUUUAUUAGGGAAGGGACAUCCAUAAGAACGGAUGGGCACCUCUCCAGACAGAACCUGAGAGAGAGUGCCCAGUCGCUCGGACUGGGGGAAGAGUGAGGUCACAUGGUUGAGUGGAGAGAUUACACUCAGGCAGGCCAGGCGGGCGGCUCAGCAGAGAGGCAGAGGGCUGAGCGCACAGUCUGGUGUCUGGUUGAGGCCCAGGGAGGGGGGCGUUUAAGGGAUAGGUCUUUGUCUUCUCAUCUCUGCUCCUCUUGGAACAAAGGACUUCUUGGAUGUAAAUAGAAAAGCUCCUAUCUGAGUUUUCCCCCUGAAGUUAUCAGACAGGAGGAAGCCUGGCUGGCAGCACUCUGGUUAGAGGAAGGGUGAGCAAGACCCCCUGGAGGAUGGAGGAUCAGGAGGAUAUUUGAAAUGCAGAUAUCAGGCAGAAGGGGUGGGGACCCCCACCUGGCAGGUUAUCAGGUAGAAGGAGCAGGGCAGGAUGCAAAUACUGGGCUGCCCCUGAAACAUUACCAGGAUGACUUUGAGAUGCAUAUGCUGGACCUAAAUGUCUCCUUAGGCCUUUGUCACACGCACAUAAGCUCAUAUCUGACUUCCUAACUGUCUCAGAGAUUUACUUUGUUUUAAUGUGUUACAUAGAGGAUAUCAUUAUGUCUUAUAAGUUUCAUUCAUGUCUAAGUGACCAACUCCAUUGCUUGUAAGAGAUUUGUUAUUAUUCUUAAGUAUUUCCUUACAGUUAAUUCAGUUUCUCAGACAUGGACUCUUGGACCUGUGUCUCCCUGUAAUACUCCUGUCUUGCCUGUUUUAACAUCAAAUGGAGAGUACAGAAUGGCUCAAAGUCUCAGGACUAUGAAGGAGGCAGCUAUUCCCCGUGCAUCCUAUUGUGUGCUAAAUCCUUGCCUAAAGGAUGUUUUCUUCUGCAUCCAUUAAACCCGGAAUCUGGGAAAGCGAGGAUAGAGUUUCCCCAAUGAAAGCUCAAAUUUCUAAAUAGGAGGUAGAUUACCUGGGAUUAUCCCAGGUAAAGCCUGCUCUUUCAGGAAAGAGAAAGGAAGCUAUUUGAUGGAAGUAGCUACAUGAAGGAAGACAUUAGAAAGGCAAAUUGUGUUAUAGUGGAUCUUAUCCAGGUAAUAGAAGCUCAAGCAUUGCCAAGUAAUACUUCAGCUCAAAAGGCUGAAUUUACUGCAUUAACUAGAGCCUUGCAAUUAGGAAAAUGUCAGCGAGUUAAUAUAUAUGCAGACUCCAAAUAUGCUUUCCUUGUGUUACACGCACAUGCAGCAAUUUGGAAAGAAAGAUGCUUAUGGACUGCAAAGAAUUCCCAUUAAAUAUGGAAAGGAGAUCUGAGCUCUGCUUCAGUCAGUGCCGGAACCUUUGGAAGCAGCUGGCAUCAGAAGGCGGAGAGCUAUGUUAGCAAGGGAAAUGUGUGUGCGGACAAGGAGGCGAAAAUAGCUGCUGACAGGAUGUUCUGGCCACAGCUCUGCUACCUCAGCCUGCAGUAAUGGCUAAAGUGUCUCGCUCUACUGAGAUCUGAUGGAUCCAACAAGGUUAUACUAAAGAUGCUAGCGGUGGUGGACUUUUGAUCAUAAGGUUAUGCUUCCAAUGGCUUCUCACUGGCCAAUUAUUAAGGAAAUGCAUAACUCUACCCAUCUGGGAAGAGGAGCUUUAAUGCAAUUCGUCUCUCCAGUGUUGAAGGGAAAGGACUAGGUGAUGUCCUAUGAAUUUCUUACCAUCUUCAUGCUCUUCUUGGAACCCUCAGUCAUCGGGUGAAUUUGAAAAGGGAUAUUCAUGGUCUUAAAAAUAUUCUAGCUAAGCUUGGCCAAGAGAUCUAAGAAAUGUGGCUUAAACUGUUGCCUAUUGCUCUUCUCAGGAUGAGAAUAGCACCCAAGACUGCCUUAAGGGUUCGUCCAUAUGAGAUGCUCUAUGGAAGGCCUUCCUUCACCUCUGACAUCCUCUUUGAUUCAGAAGUUCAAGAUCAGAUAAAGUAUAUUAUCGAUUUAGGCCAGAUACAAAAGGCUGUGAUAGAGUAUGGUAAUAAAGUUCUCCCAGUGCCAGAUUCUAAGACUGAUGGACAGCCUAUUUCCCCAGGAGACUCAGUUUUAUUAAAAACUUGGAAGGAAGGGUCCCCUUCAGACCAGCUGCAGCCUAAAUGGAAGGAUCCCUACCAGGUGCUGCUGAGUACACCCACCUCGGUGAAAUUACAGGACCCCCCCAAGCUGGGUGCAUUUGUCAAGGAUUAAAUUUCCACCUCUUGAGUCUUCAUAGGUGAACUCGAAAGAUAACGUCUGCCUAUUCCUGUGAGCCGAUCAAAGAUCGCACGUUCCUCUUCAAAAAGCAAAAAGAUAAGUAAAGCUUUUGCUUUCGUUUUAUCGAGACUAUUGCACUUUAAGCCAUACAUGUUAUACCCAAUUUUUUUUUUAUUCUCUCUGGGAAAUUUUAUUGUCAGAAAAACUCCUUAGUGGGUUCUUGUAUUAUAAUACUAGGAGAUCGUGCUGAGCCACAUGAAGCUGAUGUUAAAAACCUGACCAUUGCUUUAGGCAAUCUGGGUUAUGCUUCAGGCCAACUUGUACAGCAAGUACUUAUGUCUGUGGACACUCUGUGCAAAGUAGUUAUGGACAACUGGCAGGCCUUGGAAUAUAUAUUAGUAAAACAGGGAGGAACAUGUGCAGUGAUUGAUGGAGUCUACCACCUUUACUCAAACAGUAGUAUGUUCACUGAAAGACACAUUAAAAAUCUCUAUGCUCAGGCUAGAUGGUUUAUAAUCUGCAUAAGGAGAGUCCAUCACCACCCACUAUCUGAGAGUCUAUUGAAUAUGUUAUUUGCAUCUUAAAGGGCACUCCAAUUGAAUUUUUUUCCAGUUUUGCUCAUGUUGAUUGACAAACUUCUGUGUUUUGGAAUUCAACAAUUUGUGAGAGUAGUGAUGACCAUGUGGGGGACACAGCCAUUGGUGGUGACUGAAAAUUCCCCAGCUGGUGAAAUGGAUUCAUUAGGUGAGAUAGGAAGAGAUUUCUGGACCCCAGACAGGCAGGGCCUGCAUCCAUGAUCAGCAGGAAGCAGAUACAGAAGAUGUGAUGGGUCUAUGCCAUUAAGCAUCUUGUCAAGAUUAAGGGUCAGGAAUCUCUGAGGGGGGAUGAUAUGGGGCUGGUCAUGGACUUAGGUUAGGUUCCUGAACUGGAGGUCACACCCGUGUUACCACCACGGACUCUCACCUGUUUCCACCACCUGUCAAUCACACUGUGUAACCACUCCCCUUCUGGAAGUGAAUAAGAGGCCUGGAGAGCACUGACCCCAUCUCUCUCUUGCCUGCCCCACUCUUGCCUAUGUGCACUCUCACCUGUGUUCUCUGUCUAAAGGUUUGGAGCUCCCCAUUUACUGUUCUUGGCCCACUCUCCCUAAUGAAGCCCUCACGUUCCUGUGUAUUUUUCUCACUCUCUAAAAAAUCCUAAACCUCAUCAUGCUGCAUGUCUUGUUUGAGCCAGUGCUUAGAAUUCUUCUCUAAGUAAAUGGCAAGAACCAGAAAUAUUAAAUUUUGGCUUAGUUUAACCCAGAACAGCAGGGACAAUGAAGAUAAAAUUUUACGUUUUGCAUCAAAAUUCCAUGGAGAGUUAGAUGGGCAAGGGACAGUUCUCAAGACAGAGUUGGAGCCACACUGGCCUGCAGACCCCUUGCUUGGCCCUGUUAAUAUUUUGCCUGCAGUCCUGCAUGCUGCUCCGGGUCUGUCUCAUGUUCCUGUCUGCUCCUGACAUGCUUACAGCUGGAAGGACAACGUGGACUGUUGGGGAGCACGCUAAGGGAGGGGUGGAGCUUGGGUUUGCCUGUUGCUUUGACAUCAGUGGGAGGAAACCACAGAGAGUCGUGGGUGUGUGGCACAUCCUGGGUGUUUUUCUGCAGGGUUUAUAUUGGCCCUGCCCCCUUCGUCUGCAGCAAGGGUUCUGGGAGUACUUGCCAGGGCUUUAAGAGGUGACUAUUUGGUGUGCUUGUGAGUUAGGAACUAGCAAGAACAUUUCUAGCUGUUUUUCACAGCUGAAAAAUAAACCUCUUCUGAAUAUUUAGGAAAUAAAAUAUGAAGACUUAUUCAGAGAAUCCUAUUAUUAAAUUAUUCUCUUUCUUUUAAAAAAAAGAUUUAUGUGUUAUUUUUGAAAGGUAAAGUCACAGAGAGAGAAGGAGAGACAGAGAGAAAGAUCUUGCAUCUGCUGGUCCACUCCCCAGACAGCCACACAGCUAGAGCUGGGUCAAGCUGAAGGCAGAAGUCUGCGACUUUGUCCAGGUCUCCCACAUGGAUUGCAGGGGCCUAAGUCCUUGGGCCAUCUUCUGCUGCCUUCCCAGGUAAUCUCAAAUUACACCAUAAAGGUAACCAGCUGCAGAAGCAGAAGACAACCCCACACCCUGAGGAGUGUAUUACCUGAAAAGCCAGAUAGUACCUGGCUCUCUCCCAGACAGCAUUGCUCAUCAUGGACGGUUCAAGCCAAAUUAUCCAUUAUUGUUCCCCAAGUUUACAAUUAAACUAUCGAUCAAAUCUGGCAGUGAUUUCUCCAGCAGCCCAAGCUUGGAAGCUGUGGAAUUACAUCAGAACCUGAGCGCGUGGAGCCGGAGAAGGUGACGCCGACAGACAGAUGCUGACCGAAGGCUGCGCUGCGGACCAGCCACCUCGGGAUGCAGCCGCUGGUGAUUUUCCUGGAGCCAAGAAGCACUGAGCCAGCACCACGGCCACCGACAGCGGUGGCGUGCUCAGAGUCAGAAAUCGGUAUUAGUCUCUCCUGGCCUGGAGGCAGGAGAUGUCAAAAGCUAAAUCAUGAUCUACCCUGGCUUCCUGGCUAAAUUGUGUAUGAAGGCCUCAGGCAAAAAGGUACACAUGCUCAUUAUUUGAAACCGAG